UCCUAUAAAUAUCAGUUAAAUCUAUCUGGUCUAUUGUGUCACUUAAAGCUUGUUUCCUUAUUUAUUUUCAUUUUGGAUGAUCUGUCCAUUGGUGUAAGUGAGGUGUUAAAGUCCCCCAGUAUUAUUGUGUUACUGUUGAUUUCCUUUUUUAUAGCUGUUAGCAGUUGCCUUAUGUAUUAAGGUGCUCCUAUGUUGGGUGUCUGUAUAUUUACAAUUGUUACAUCCUUUUCCUGGAUUGAUCCCUUGAUCAUUACGUAGUGUCCUUCCUGAUCUUUUGUAAGUCUUUAAAGUUUGUUUUGUCUGAUAUGAGUAUUGCUACUCCUGCUUUCUUUUGAAUUCCAUUUGCAUGGAAUACCUUUUUCCAUCCCCUCACUUUGUCUGUAUGUGUCCCUAGAUAAGAAGUAGGUCUCUUGUAGAUGGCAUAUAUAUGGGUCUUGUUUUUGUAUCCAUUUAGCCAGUCUGUGUCUGUUGGUUGGAGCAUUUAAUCCAUUUACAUUUAAGGUAAUUAUCAAUAAGUGUUCUUACUGCUGUUUUGUUAAUUGGGGUUUGUUUUUGAAGGUCUUUUUUCUUCCUUUCCUCUUGUUCUCUUGUGAUUUGAUGUCUAUCUUUAGUGUUGUUUGGAUUGCUUUUUCUUUUUUGUGUGUGUAUCUAUGGUAGAGUUUUGGUUUGUGGUUCCCAUGAGGUUUUGAUAGAGCAGUCUGUAUAACUACAAGAUUGUUUUAAGUUGCUGGUCUCAAUUUCCAGUGUAUUUCCAGUAUCCUGCAUUUGUACUCUUCUCAUGGUUGCUGAUUUUGAUAUCAUAUUUAUGUGUGGAUGGUUUCCUACCUUUAUGUUUGCCUUUACCAGUGAGCUUUCCCAUUUGUAAUUUUCUUGAUUCUAGUUGUGGCCUUUUCCACAGAGAAGUUCCUUUAGGUUUUGUUGUGGUUUUCACAGUUUGAGUAGCUGCAACAGAGGCCAAUAUGGUCCACACAGCCUUGAAUAUUUACUGUCUGUCUCCUUUUUUGUUUUCUGAUUUUUAUUGGAGUAUAGUUGCUUUAUAGUGUUUUGUUAGUUUCAGGUGUACAGCAAAGUGAAUCAGUUAUACAUAUAUUUCCUCUUUUUUCGAUUUCCUUCCCAUUUAGGUUACCACAAAGCAUUGAGUUCCCUGUGCUUUACUUUAGGUUCUUGUUAGUUAUCUAUUUUAUACAUAGUAUCAAUAGUGUAUAUGUCAAUCCCAAUUUCCCAAUUCAUCACCCACUCCCCCCACCCUCCAGUCUGGCUCUUUAGAGAAAAUGUUUGUUAUUUUGUUAGCCCCUGAGUUAAUGUCAGUAACAGCAGUAAAAAUCAACUAUAGAUACAUGCAGCAACAGGGCUACAUAUCAGAAACAAAGUUGAAUGGAAAAAGACUCCAUAAUUUUCAUUUGUAUUUAAAACAUUGACCUAUUAAAGACUUCUCCAUGUUUAUAAAAAAGUAAAAGGAGUUUGAAGAAUUCUGAAUGGCAGAAAAUUUUCACUGUAUAUAAGGGAAAGUAUUAGGAUGCAAAUCAAUGUAUGUGGUGUGCUUCCUGUUACACUUAAAAGUUUUUGGUGAAAGUCCCAUAAUCCAGGUGAGGCCAUGUUUCAGAGUAACCUGCCAGGGCUUCUUGGUCCAUGAGCUUGAGCCAGGGGCUCCUCCAGUAGCCAGAGAAGAGAUGGUUAUGAUGUCAGUGGCUGGAUGGCAGAAGGACUUGACGACUGCCAUGUUAAGGGUUAUGUUUGAAGAGACAGAAUAAAGGCUGUUCUUCAGAGGAGAGUUUGAAGAAUUUACACUGAACAGAUUUUCCAGGAAGUUUAAAAAAAAAUGAUUGAUGGUGUCCCCUUAUAGAACUGCAUCAGCAAGCUUAUACUAAGGAGGAGGACAGGAAUUGAGUACAAGUCAGCAAGGACACCAGGGUUGAAGAGUUAAGUAAUGAGCAGUACUCAGGCAUUCACUUUUAAGUCAGCUUUUUUUUUUUUU